rnacentral:rRNA from 1 species
CAAUAGCGUAUAUUAAAGUUGUUGCAGUUAAAAAGCUCGUAGUUGGAUUUCUGGUUGAAGCGACCGGUCGGGCGUUGAUUCGUCUGCACUGGAGUCGGUUUUGGCCAUCCUCUAGGAAAGUGCGUCUGGUAUUAAGUUAUCGGGCGUAUGAUCCUGGUCUUUUACUGUGAAAAAAUUAGAGUGUUUAAAGCAGGCCUUCGCCUUGAAUACAUUAGCAUGGAAUAAUAAGAUAGGGCUUUGGUCUAUUUUGUUGGUUUGCAGACCGAAGUAAUGAUUAAUAGGGAUAGUUGGGGGUAUUUAUAUUCCGAUGUCAGAGGUGAAAUUCUUAGAUUUUCGGAAGAUAAACUUAUGCGAAAGCAUUUACCAAGGAUGUUUUCAUUAA